UACGAAGGGGGCUAGCGUUGCUCGGAAUCACUGGGCGUAAAGGGUGCGUAGGCGGGUCUUUAAGUCAGGGGUGAAAUCCUGGAGCUCAACUCCAGAACUGCCUUUGAUACUGAAGAUCUUGAGUUCGGGAGAGGUGAGUGGAACUGCGAGUGUAGAGGUGAAAUUCGUAGAUAUUCGCAAGAACACCAGUGGCGAAGGCGGCUCACUGGCCCGAUACUGACGCUGAGGCACGAAAGCGUGGGGAGCAAGCAGG
rnacentral:rRNA from 1 species